rnacentral:lncRNA from 10 species
CGGAGCCACAAAAGACCCAGCCGGUGGGCCGGCGACACACAGGCGAGCCAAAGCAGAUGAAGAAAUUGACUGUAUUAGUCCGUUUUCACACUGCCGAUAAAGACAUACCUGAGACUGGGCAAUUUACAAAACAAAGAGUUUUAAUGGACUCACAGUUCCAUGUGGCUGGGGAGGCCUCAUAAUCAUGGUGGAGGACAAAAGGCACGUCUCACAUGGCGGCAGACAAGAGAAUGAGAGCCAAGCAAAGGGGUUUCCCCUUAUUAAACCAUCAGAUGUGGUGAGACGUAUUCGCUACCAUGAGAACACUAUGGGGGAAACCACCCCCAUGAUUCAGUUAUCUCUCACUGGGUCCCUCCCACAACACCAGGGAAUUAUGGGAGCUACAAUUCAAGAUGAAAUUUGGGUGGGGACACAGCCAAAUUAUAUCACUGACACAGUGAAAUAAAGUAACUUCUGAGGUCACACCACUAAUAAGUGGAAAAGCCUAGAUUCACCCUUGCUUUUAACCACUGCUGUAUACUACCUCUCACUGAAAAUACUUCAUAACUAUUUGUUGAAUGAAAGCAUAGAUUUAUGAAUCAAUCAGUGUCACAGACUAUGCUGAAA